rnacentral:tRNA from 1 species
CAGAGAAGUAGUUUAUAAAAAUAUUGGCAUUGGAAGUCAAAGAUUAGGAUGUUCCUACUUUCUGA